AUGCACGCUGGCGGCGUGCCUAAUACAUGCAAGUCGAGCGAACAGAUGAGGAGCUUGCUCCUCUGACGUUAGCGGCGGACGGGUGAGUAACACGUGGAUAACCUACCUAUAAGACUGGGAUAACUUCGGGAAACCGGAGCUAAUACCGGAUAAUAUAUUGAACCGCAUGGUUCAAUAGUGAAAGACGGUUUUGCUGUCACUUAUAGAUGGAUCCGCGCCGCAUUAGCUAGUUGGUAAGGUAACGGCUUACCAAGGCAACGAUGCGUAGCCGACCUGAGAGGGUGAUCGGCCACACUGGAACUGAGACACGGUCCAGACUCCUACGGGAGGCAGCAGUAGGGAAUCUUCCGCAAUGGGCGAAAGCUUGACGGAGCAACGCCGCGUGAGUGAUGAAGGUCUUCGGAUCGUAAAACUCUGUUAUUAGGGAAGAACAAAUGUGUAAGUAACUAUGCACGUCUUGACGGGACCUAAUCAGAAAGCCACGGCUAACUACGU
rnacentral:rRNA from 1 species